rnacentral:rRNA from 1 species
AACACAUGCAAGUCGAGCGAUGAGGCUCCCUUCGGGGGGUACAUCAGCGGCGAACGGGUGAGUAACACGUGGGUGACCUUCCCCAAAGACGGGGAUAACUCUUGGAAACAGGGGCUAAUACCCGAUGUGCUCAGCAGUUCACUCUGUUGAGUAAAGCUAUGGCGCUUUGGGAUGGGCCCGCGGCCCAUCAGCUAGUUGGUAGGGUAAUGGCCUACCAAGGCUAAGACGGGUAGGGGGCGUGAGAGCGCGAUCCCCCACACUGGCACUGAGACACGGGCCAGACUCCUACGGGAGGCAGCAGUGAGGAAUAUUGCGCAAUGGACGAAAGUCUGACGCAGCGACGCCGGCGUGGGCGAUGAAGGCCUUCGGGUCGUAAAGCCCUUUUCUUGGGGGAAGAGAAAGGACGGUACCCCAGGGAAUUAAAGCCCCUGGUUAACUACGUGCCAGCAGCCGCCGGUAAAACCGUAGGGGGCAAGCGUUAUCCGGAUUUACCUGGGCGUAAAGAGCGUUGAGACGGUUUUGUAAAUUUGGGCGUGAAAGCCCUGGGCUUAACUCAGGGAAAGCCGUUCAAUACUGCGAAACUUGAGGGGGCAGCAGAAGGGGAGGUGGAAUUCCCCGGAAUAGCGGUGAAAUGCGUAGGAUUUCGGGAGGGACACCAGUGGCGAAGGCGGCCUCCUGGGCUGCUCCUUGACGCUGAAGGGCGAAAGCUAGGAGAGCAAACGGGAUUAGAACCCCGGUAGUCCUAGCCGUAAACGAUGGAUGCUAGGUUUGGGGGGUGUAGAUUCCCUCCGUGCCGCAGUUAACGCGUUAAGCAUCCCCGCCCGGGGAGUACGCCCGCAAGGCUAAAACUCAAACGAAUUGACGGGGGCCCGCACAAGCAGCGGAGCGUGUGGUUUAAUUCGAUGCUACACGAAGAACCUUACCUGGGCUUGACAUACAGGUAGUAGUGAAGUGAAAGCGGAUCGACCCUUCGGGGAGCCUGUACAGGUGCUGCAUGGCUGUCGUCAGCUCGUGCCGUGAGGUGUCGGGUUAAGUCCCGUAACGAGCGCAACCCUUGCUCUUAGUUAUACGUGUCUAAGAGGACUGCCGGCGGUAAGCCGGAGGAAGGUGGGGAUGACGUCAAGUCAGCAUGGCCUUUAUGUCCAGGGCUACACACACGCUACAAUGGCCGGUACAAUGGGUAGCUAAACCGCGAGGUGGAGCCAAUCCUGUAAAGCCGGUCUCAGUUCGAAUUGCAGGCUGCAACUCGCCUGCAUGAAGUCGGAGUUGCUAGUAAUCGCAGGUCAGCAAUACUGCGGUGAAUACGUUCCCGGGCCUUGUACACACCGCCCGUCACGUCAUGGAAGCUGGCAACACCUGAAGCCGGUGAGCUAACCCGAAAGGGGGGCAACUGUCGAAGGUGAGGCUGGU